rnacentral:rRNA from 1 species
AAACUAAUUUAGUUUGGCGGCAUUUCAUCUAUUUAGAGGAAUUUGUCCUUUAAUCGAUAAUCCACGUUAAAUUUCACUUUAAUUUAAAAUUUAUAUACCGCCAUCUUAAGAAUUAUUUUAAAAACAUUCUCUCAAUAAACAAUAAAAAGUUAGGUCAAGGUGUAAUCCAUAUUAAAGAAUCGAUGAAUUACAAUAAAUAACAUUUAAAGAUUACUAAUAAAUAUAUAAGUAUAAAUAAGAAUUUAAAAGUAAUAUAUCAAUAAUAAUAAUAUAUGAUAAAGAUAAUAGAUGUGCACACAUCGCCC